UACGUAGGGUGCAAGCGUUGUCCGGAUUUAUUGGGCGUAAAGAGCGUGUAGGCGGUCAGGUAGGUCGGUUGUGAAAACUGGAGGCUCAACCUUCAGAGGUCGACCGAAACCCCCUGGCUAGAGUCCGGGAGAGGAGAGUGGAAUUCCUGGUGUAGCGGUGAAAUGCGCAGAUAUCAGGAAGAACACCCGUGGCGAAAGCGGCUCUCUGGAACGGUACUGACGCUGAGACGCGAAAGCGUGGGGAGCGAACAGG
rnacentral:rRNA from 1 species